rnacentral:rRNA from 1 species
GGGGAUCUCAAGGCGAGACGGGUAGCCGGCCUGAGAGGGCGACCGGCCACACUGGGACUGAGACACGGCCCAGACUCCUACGGGAGGCAGCAGUGGGGAAUAUUGCACAAUGGGCGAAAGCCUGAUGCAGCGACGCCGCGUGAGGGAUGACGGCCUUCGGGUUGUAAACCUCUUUCAGCAGGGAAGAAGCGAAAGUGACGGUACCUGCAGAAGAAGCGCCGGCUAACUACGUGCCAGCAGCCGCGGUAAUACGUAGGGCGCAAGCGUUGUCCGGAAUUAUUGGGCGUAAAGAGCUCGUAGGCGGCUUGUCACGUCGGGUGUGAAAGCCCGGGGCUUAACCCCGGGUCUGCAUUCGAUACGGGCUAGCUAGAGUGUGGUAGGGGAGAUCGGAAUUCCUGGUGUAGCGGUGAAAUGCUCAAAUAUCAGGAGGAACACCGCUGGCAAAGGCGGAUCUCUGGGCCAUUACUGACCCUAGGGAGCUAUCCCGCGGGGAGCGAACAGAGAUUAAAUCCCGGGCCGUGCCACACCCCAUGGGGGGAGGUAACCUCUUGGGGCCGUCC